rnacentral:lncRNA from 1 species
AACUCUCCCAAGUCCUCAAGAGCUUCAAAAUAUCUCAUCCUUAAUUUGAACUAUUCACCAAAUAAUAUUACACCAAAGAAUAUACUACUAAUAUCUCUUUAUCACCAACUCUCCUAAGUCCUUAAGAGUUUCAAAAUAUCAUAACCUCCAAUCAAAUUAGUUCUCAAAUAUUAUUACACCAAAAAUAUACUACUACUAAGAUCUCUCCAUCACCAUACCAAACUCCAAAU